rfam:Triticum urartu cultivar G1812 contig398902, whole genome shotgun sequence.
AAUAUACUCCCUCCGUCUAUAAAUUCUUGUCUUAGAUUUGUCUAAAUACGGAUGUAUCAAGUCACGUUUUAGUAUUAGGUACAUCCGUAUCUAGACAAUUCUAAGACAAGAAUUUUGAGACGGAGGGAGUAUGUA